AGAAUCAACGCUGGCGGCGUGCCUAACACAUGCAAGUCGAACGAGAAAGGGUAGCAAUACCUGAGUAAAGUGGCGCACGGGUGAGUAACACGUGACUAACCUACCUUUUAGUGGGGGAUAACCUAGGGAAACCUGGGCUAAUACCGCAUAAUACCUACGGGUCAAAGCAGCAAUGCGCUGAAAGAGGGGGUCGCGGCCGAUUAGCUAGUUGGCGGGGUAAUGGCCCACCAAGGCAGUGAUCGGUAUCCGGCCUGAGAGGGCGCACGGACACACUGGAACUGAAACACGGUCCAGACUCCUACGGGAGGCAGCAGUGGGGAAUUUGCGCAAUGGGGGAAACCCUGACGCAGCAACGCCGCGUGGAGGAUGAAGUCCCUUGGGACGUAAACUCCUUUCGAUCGGGACGAUAAUGACGGUACCGGAAGAAGAAGCCCGGCUAACUUCGCGCCAGCAGCCGC
rnacentral:rRNA from 1 species